GAUAAACGCUGGCGGCGUGCAUGAGACAUGCAAGUCGAACGGACGGACCGGUUCGCCGGUCCGUUAGUGGCGGACGGCUGAGUAACGCGUAGGUGACCUGCCCCGAAGUGGGGAAUAACUGCCCGAAAGGGUGGCUAAUACCACAUGUGGUCGCACGUUCGGUCGUGCGAGUAAAGCCGCAAGGCGCUUCGGGAGGGGCCUGCGUCCGAUUAGCUCGUUGGUGGGGUAACGGCUCACCAAGGCGACGAUCGGUAGGUGGUCUGAGAGGACGAUCACCCAGACUGGGACUGAGACACGGCCCAGACUCCUACGGGAGGCAGCAGUCGGGAAUUUUGCUCAAUGGGCGCAAGCCUGAAGCAGCAACGCCGCGUGGGGGAUGAAGGCCUUCGGGUCGUAAACCCCUUUUGCCGAGGACGAUGAUGACGGUACUCGGUGAAUAAGCCACGGCUAACUACGUGCCAGCAGCCGCCGUAAGAC
rnacentral:rRNA from 1 species